rnacentral:rRNA from 1 species
UGGGGAAUAUUGCACAAUGGGGAAAACCCUGAUGCAGCGACGCCGCGUGAACGAAGAAGGUAUUCGUAUCGUAAAGUUCUGUCCUAUGGGAAGAUAAUGACAGUACCAUAGAAGAAAGCUCCGGCUAAAUACGUGCCAGCAGCCGCGGUAAUACGUAUGGAGCGAGCGUUGUCCGGAAUUAUUGGGCGUAAAGGGUACGCAGGCGGUUUAAUAAGUCGAAUGUUAAAGAUCGGGGCUCAACCCCGUAAAGCAUUGGAAACUGAUAAACUUGAGUAGUGGAGAGGAAAGUGGAAUUCCUAGUGUAGGGGUGAAAUACGUAGAUAUUAGGGGGAAUAACAGUAGCGAAGGCGACUUUCUGGACACGAACUGACGCUGAGGUACGAAAGCGUGGGGAGCAAACAGG